rnacentral:rRNA from 1 species
UACGAGGGGGGCGAGCGUUGUUCGGAAUCACUGGGCGUAAAGGGUGCGUAGGCGGGUCUUUAAGUCAGGGGUGAAAUCCUGGAGCUCAACUCCAGAACUGCCUUUGAUACUGAAGAUCUUGAGUUCGGGAGAGGUGAGUGGAACUGCGAGUGUAGAGGUGAAAUUCGUAGAUAUUCGCAAGAACACCAGUGGCGAAGGCGGCUCACUGGCCCGAUACUGACGCUGAGGCACGAAAGCGUGGGGAGCAAACAGG